GACAGAGGUGCCGAGCGUUAGGCGGAAUCACUGGGCUUAAAGCGUGUGUAGGCGGGUCCGUAAGUACCUUGUGAAAUCCCACGGCUCAACCGUGGAACUGCUUGGUAUACUGCGGGUCUUGAGCCACUUAGGGGCAAGCGGAACAAAACGGUGGAGCGGUGAAAUGCGUAGAUAUCGUUUGGAACGCCAAAUGGUGAAAACAGCUUGCUGGGAGUGUGCUGACGCUGAGACACGAAAGCCAGGGGGAGCAAAACGGGG
rnacentral:rRNA from 1 species